rnacentral:rRNA from 1 species
UACGAAGGGGGCUAGCGUUGCUCGGAAUUACUGGGCGUAAAGCGCACGUAGGCGGCUCUUUAAGUCGGAGGUGAAAUCCUGGAGCUCAACUCCAGAACUGCCUUCGAUACUGUAGAGCUUGAGUUCGGGAGAGGUGAGUGGAACUGCGAGUGUAGAGGUGAAAUUCGUAGAUAUUCGCAAGAACACCAGUGGCGAAGGCGGCUCACUGGCCCGAUACUGACGCUGAGGUGCGAAAGCGUGGGGAGCAAACAGGG